AGAGUUCGAUUCUGGCUCAGAACGUACGCUAGCGGUGUGGAUUAGGCAUGCAAGUCGUGCGCGAAAGCCUUCGGGCGAGUAAAGCGGCGAAAGGGUGAGUAACACGUAACCAACGUACCCCUCAGAUCGGAAUAACCUCUGGAAACGGUGGGUAAUGCCGAAUGGUCCCAGGAGAGACAUCUCUCCGAGGGUAAACGGUGCCUUCGGGUGCUGCUGAGGGAGCGGGUUGCGGCCUAUCAGUUUGUUGGUGGGGUAACGGCCUACCAAGACGAUGACGGGUAGCGGGUCUGAGAGGAUGAUCCGUCACACUGGGACUGAGACACUGCCCAGACUCCUACGGGAGGCUGCAGUCGAGAAUCUUCCACAAUGGGCGAAAGCCUGAUGGAGCGACACCGCGUGCAGGAUGAAGGCCUUAGGGUUGUAAACUGCUGUCACGCUAUAGGAACCCAUGGUCGUUAAUAGCGGCCGUGCUGACCAAAGCGAGAGGAAGCGCCGGCUAACUCCGUGCCAGCAGCCGCGGUAAUACGGAGGGCGCAAGCGUAGUUCGGAUUUACUGGGCAUAAAGAGCACGUAGGCGGCUCGCUCAGUCAGGUGUGAAAGCCCACGGCUCAACCGUGGAACUGCACCUGAUACUGGCGAGCUUGAGGACGGAAGGGGUGAGUGGAACUCCAGGUGGAACGGUGAAAUGUAUAGAUAUCUGGAGGAACACCGGUGGCGAAAGCGGCUCACUGGUCCGUCUCUGACGCUGAGGUGCGAAAGCUAGGGUAGCGAACGGGAUUAGAUACCCCGGUAGUCCUAGCCGUAAACGAUGGGCACUAGGCAAUGGGCCCUCCUAUGAGGUUCAUUGCCGGAGCUAAUGUGUUAAGUGCCCCGCCUGGGGAGUACGCUCGCAAGGGUAAAACUCAAAUGAAUUGACGGAAUCA
rnacentral:rRNA from 1 species